rnacentral:rRNA from 1 species
CCUACGGGUGGCAGCAGUCGAGAAUCAUUCACAAUGGGGGAAACCCUGAUGGUGCGACGCCGCGUGGGGGAAUGAAGGUCUUCGGAUUGUAAACUCCUGUCAUGUGGGAGCAAAUUAAAAAGAUAGUACCACAAGAGGAAUAGACGGCUAACUCUGUGCCAGCAGCCGCGGUACUACAGAGGUCUCAAGCGUUGUUCGGCAUCACUGGGCGUAAAGCGUGCGUAGGCUGUUUCGUAAGUCGUGUGUGAAAGGCGCGGGCUCAACCCGCGGACGGCAGAUGAUACUGGGAUGCUAGAGUAAUGGAGGGGGAGCCGGAAUUCGCGGUGUAGCAGUGAAAUGCGUAGAUAUGGAGAGGAACACUCGUGGCGAAGGCGGGUUGCUGGACAUUAACUGACGCUGAGGCACGAAGGCCAGGGGAGCGAAAGGGAUUAGAUACCCUAGUAGUC